rnacentral:rRNA from 1 species
AGAGUUUGAUCAUGGCUCAGAUUGAACGCUGGCGGCAUGCCUUACACAUGCAAGUCGAACGGUAACAGGUCUUCGGAUGCUGACGAGUGGCGAACGGGUGAGUAAUACAUCGGAACGUGCCCGAUCGCGGGGGAUAACGAGGCGAGAGCUUUGCUAAUACCGCAUACGAUCUACGGAUGAAAGCGGGGGAUCUUCGGACCUCGCGCGGACGGAGCGGCCGAUGGCAGAUUAGGUAGUUGGUGGGAUAAAAGCUUACCAAGCCGACGAUCUGUAGCUGGUCUGAGAGGAUGAUCAGCCACACUGGGACUGAGACACGGCCCAGACUCCUACGGGAGGCAGCAGUGGGGAAUUUUGGACAAUGGGCGAAAGCCUGAUCCAGCCAUGCCGCGUGCAGGAUGAAGGCCUUCGGGUUGUAAACUGCUUUUGUACGGAACGAAAAGCCUCUUUCUAAUAAAGAGGGGUCAUGACGGUACCGUAAGAAUAAGCACCGGCUAACUACGUGCCAGCAGCCGCGGUAAUACGUAGGGUGCAAGCGUUAAUCGGAAUUACUGGGCGUAAAGCGUGCGCAGGCGGUUUUGUAAGACAGAGGUGAAAUCCCCGGGCUCAACCUGGGAACUGCCUUUGUGACUGCAAGGCUGGAGUGCGGCAGAGGGGGAUGGAAUUCCGCGUGUAGCAGUGAAAUGCGUAGAUAUGCGGAGGAACACCGAUGGCGAAGGCAAUCCCCUGGGCCUGCACUGACGCUCAUGCACGAAAGCGUGGGGAGCAAACAGGAUUAGAUACCCCGGUAGUCCAA